UGGCUGUUUGCUGAACACAUGCAAGUCGAACGAACUCUUCGGAGUGAGUGGCGGACGGGUGAGUAACGCGUGAGAAUCUGCCUGUGGGUCGGGGACAACCACUGGAAACGGUGGCUAAUACCGGAUGAGCCGAAAGGUAAAAAAUUUAUUGCCCACAGAUGAGCUCGCGUCUGAUUAGCUAGUUGGUAAGGUAAAAGCGUACCAAGGCGACGAUCAGUAGCUGGUCUGAGAGGAUGAGCAGCCACACUGGGACUGAGACACGGCCCAGACUCCUACGGGAGGCAGCAGUGGGGAAUUUUCCGCAAUGGGCGAAAGCCUGACGGAGCAAGACCGCGUGGGGGAGGAAGGUUUUUGGAUCGUAAACCCCUUUUGUCAAGGAAGAAGUUCUGACGGUACUUGACGAAUAAGCCUCGGCUAACUCCGUGCCAGCAGCCGCGGGUAAUACGGAGGAGGCANGCGUUAUCCGGAAUGAUUGGGCGUAAAGCGUCUGUAGGUGGCCAGCUAAGUCUGCUGUUAAAGAUCACAGCUCA
rnacentral:rRNA from 1 species